rnacentral:tRNA from 1 species
GGGGAUUUAGCUCAGUGGCAUAAGCGCCUGCCUUGCAAGCAGGCAAUUCAAUCCCUG